UACGUAGGGGGCAAGCGUUGUCCGGAUUUAUUGGGCGUAAAGAGCGUGUAGGCGGCUGGGUAGGUCCGUUGUGAAAACUCGAGGCUCAACCUCGAGACGCCGAUGGAAACCCUCCAGCUAGAGUCCGGAAGAGGAGAGUGGAAUUCCUGGUGUAGCGGUGAAAUGCGCAGAUAUCAGGAAGAACACCCGUGGCGAAGGCGGGUCUCUGGGCCGAUACUGACGCUGAGGAGCGAAAGCGUGGGGAGCGAACAGG
rnacentral:rRNA from 1 species